CCCCGACCCACCCUCCCCUUUGUCCGCUGUUUUGAAUUCAUUGGCCCCCUCUCGACGUGACGAUAGGAAUAAUCUCGCCAAGUGAGAUUGACAGUUCAUUUCAGAAAUCAAUAUUUACAAUUUACUUCUUUCAAAGUUCAUUCUGGGAGAGGGCCCCAUAUUAUCCACCUCCCAAAUAAGCUGAUCAUAUCUCUGCCGGUCCCGGAAUGAGUUUCCUACCCAAAACGUGUCGGGUGUUUUUUUUCACCCCCUCCUCCCCGUCCCUCCCUCCCUCUUGGAAAUCAAUGUCUGCGUUUGUGCGCUUUAAUCUGGCCUCUGAUGACAGUAAAUCUUUAUCUGUUUCUGGGCGAGCGGCGGUGAGCGGCUGACACCAUUUCCCAUCAGAACAAAGCGCCGGGCCUGUGUGGACUCUGGGAGAUACAUGGGGCUCUAAUGUGGCUGGACAUGUUUCAGCGGGGCCAUUAAUCAGAGAGCGUGACAGCCAGACCUGCCGUGGUCGUCUUCCAGCCGGAGAGUCGCACCGUGUACUCAGAGAACUGACGAGCCCGCCGAAUGUUGAUGGAGAUUAAACCUCCGCUCUUCUGUCAUGAGAUGUUUCCAUCGCCAAACCUGGGUUUGUAACUCAACUCAACUUCAUCACUUGUAAUAACGUCCAAACAAAGUGUAGGACGGUAGUUUUAAAUGUUUCCAAUUCAUUGCAAGCUGAGUUUUUCAUGUUUCAUGACGGUGACUUUUCAGUACCGAAGUCCAAAUUGAGCCGUGAGGAUGUACAGAGUCUAAUGUGAUGAACAGUUUCUACGUUCCGCUCAGAGUGCAGUGCACCGCCACCUCUACGCAUGACAACAAAGCAGCACAUCUUCACUGUUAAGCUAAACACAAAAUGCAUUUGAGUGACUCAUCAAGGAUUUAGGUCUGUGAGGCGUAAAUAUGCGUCACCCCACAAAACAAAACAAUGUAAAUGUAAAAGAGGUGUUAAGUUCCAACAUAACACACUGAUACGAUCCGCCUGAGGCCCAAGGGGUCAAAAGGAACUGUUGUGCCCCCAUUAAUGCUGGCGUUUUAUUAUUUCCUGUUUAAUGUGAAGUAAUUUAUUCAUCAUAGCAUUCGUUUCGCAUCUCACGUUGGGAGCACCUUCGAUGGGAACUCAUCAGAAGCUCCCAUCGCGUUCUGGCCGCCAGGAUUGGCUGCAACUAUCCCCGUCAUUGUCGCGGAGGGUGGAGGCCCUCCCCUUGUGAAAGGGCUUCAACGCAUGCAAUGCUCGGCAUGUUAGGGAGUUUCCUCUCACACUGAUCUGUUACCAAACUAACUGGAGUGAAGCAAUACUCAUCAGCUGGCCAACACAGGUUCCCUCAAAAUGCAACAGGAGCUUCUGAUGAGGUUCGGGUGCCCCCAGGGUAGUGGUGUCACAAGGGGAUUCAAUUCACGAAUCAUUUCGAAUAGAAAUAUGGAAGCAGCAAAAAGUGAGUAUUGACAUGAGGGUCAUCAGGAUUAAGAGAUAAAGCAGUUCGGUCUUUAAGGAGCGUUAAUGUCCCCCAAGCAAAUUGGGAGGGAUCUUAACUCGAUGCUGACAUUGUCAUGCCUUCAAUGGCAUGAAUAAAAAUAAAAGACUAUGGAGUACUUAAUCUUAUAGAAGUGUAACUGCAAAAAAUAUAUCGCACAAGUAAUCCACACACACACAGUCAUGAGUUUCUCCGCUGAAACCCAGAAGCGUCCAGUGACGCCCUGUGAUGAUUUAUAACCUCCUCUGUAUUAACAACCUCAUCACCUCCAGCACCGAAAGAAUGGACCACAGUACUAUGUAUUAUUUUGCAGAUUUAUUGCCCCCCCCCCUCAGUAGAAAACAAGCCCACUGCUCCAUUCACUGAGGCUCUAUGGGGAAUUAUUGGCCGGUAAUCUAUUGUGUAACAGCUUUUAGAGUAAUGGAUGAAAACGGCCGCAACCUCCUACCAAUCAAUUCAUAUCUAAUUAGCCCGUAAUAUUUAUGACACUUUGAAGAGGAGUGGGAGUCUCAGGGGAGGGAUGGAGACCUCAGCUGCCACAGAGGGCAAUGAGAAAGAAAGAGCUUAUCAGGCUGUGUUAUUGAUGAGCACACAGGAUCUAGAAUUUAAUUUAAUUUAAUUUAAAAACGGUUGGAGAAAAAAAUCUCAACAGACAGGAAUACCCCCCAAUCCUGCAAGAUCAUAUAAAAACCAAACAACCCGGAUAAGAGAUUUUGAGAAACAUGAUGAAGCUUUUGUUUUGUUAAACACUUGAGUGUUCAAACAUACAUACAUGUAAUUGUAUGCAUAGGGGUCUAACUGUAUGCAUGUACCCUACAAUUAUUCCUCCAAGAUUUGUCUGAGAAAACACACAGAAAUAAAGAAAGAAAUGCAAUACUUGUAUAAGCCUGACAUCUUCUGUUCAGCUCCGGUUAUAACAGCCUAUACACUCAAUACAUUUUAUUUAGCAUUUUCAUCCAAUACAUAAGUGUAGACCUGACUCAAUCUAAGAAUAAUCAUACAAUAGGAUUACAUUGAAUUAGCCCAACUCAUUUUGAUCAAAUACUUCUAAAACAAUUAUUUUAUUAAACUUUUCUUAUUUGAUCCCCUAUUAAGACACAUGAAACAUAAUGUAGUUCAAGCAAUUUUAUUGCAAAUGCUCAGAAAAGUCAAAACUGACCCUCUAAUACAACAAAAACAAAAAAAUAAACCAUCUAAUGAAGAAAUUAAUUAAGAAAAGUCCAAAAAUGAUCAAGUGCAUUGUGUAUUUCCAUUAUUGACAAUGUCAAUUAAUUAUCAACCUCAAAUCCAAACCGCAUGAUCUGGAUUUGCAUGCAUAAUCCUAUAUGUCGACGAAAACUAGACUAAAAUGUAAUUAGUUUUAUUCUAGUUUUAGUCACAUUUAAUAGCCAUAUUAAACACCUUUUCUUCCCUUCUCAGGCCCAGGGACCCCCUGUGUUGUGUCUACAACUGCUUAAUAGUCUAGCUUGCAGUACUUGGUUGUCCAUUAGAUGUCCCUCAUAGGACAGGUCUAUAGAUGUCCCUCCUAGGACAGGCCUAUAGAUGUCCCUCCUAGGACAGGCCUAUAGAUGUCCCCCCUAGGACAGGCCUAUAGAUGUCCCCCCUAGGACAGGCCUAUAGAUGUCCCUCCUAGGACAGGCCUUUAGAUGUCCCUCCUAGGACAGGUCUAUAGAUGUCCCUCCUAGGACAGGCCUAUAGAUGUCCCUCCUCGGACAGGUCUAUAGAUGUCCCUCCUCGGACAGGCCUAUAGAUGUCCCUCCUAGGACAGGUCUAUAGAUGUCCCUCCUAGGACAGGCCUAUAGCAGGUCGGCAAACGUUUUGACUCGCGGACACAAUGGGUUGUAAAAUGUGACGGAGGAGCCGAGCCAAGAACAAAUGGUUGAAGUGUUUGUGUGAG
ensembl:lncRNA